UCUCUCCACACUUCCGUAUCUUGAACAUCCAAGCAUCAACUAAUUCGAAAAUCGUCUGACGCGCGAUACUCAUAGGCUUAUUGUGACGAACUACAGCUAAUUGUAGCAAAUCUUAUUUGGUGGGCUCUAAUACCUUUCGUACGUUAUCUGGGCAAAUGUGUUUUCUCAUGUCCGGGAAAGUUUUUUCAUAGCUUGUACCACCAGGUUGUAUGGGAGUUGUCGAAGCACACAAGACAAGCCUCCGGUGAAUAUCAAUAAGGAGAGACAGCGCUAGGGGUAAUGGCCCCCCCUAACGCCAAUUCAAUAGUCAGGAAAUAUUAGGACUGGCUAGAACUAGAGAACGCGUGAAGGGGGUGCAACUGAAGUUAAUUCAUAAGAGAAUCCUGGAGCACCUCUGUCAUACGCGUCGGGUGGUCAUCGUGGAGUUUUAGUCGGUAAGAGUCCGACACUACUCUGCUGUUACGCAAUUACUGCAACAGCGGAGUGUCCAUGAGGAUUUCUCCACGUAAAAAAAAAAAAAAAAAAAAAAAGGUUGUAUGUUAGUUACUCUGGCUUAUCAAUAUGCCCUGUUCAAUGUUGGCCAAGCUGAAUAAUGUCACAGGCCUCUAUCUUCCUUAAUAAGAGCUGUAGGGGAUCGAAUAAUGAGACUACCAAUAUGUGUACUCGUUAGUGUAUUUAAAACAGAUCUUGUCGCGAAACGAUAUCUAUACAGACGUUUAGUCACAGUUUAUACUGAAUCGUUUGCGAUCACGUUCGUUUAGUCAUAAUCGUCAGAAGAAGGUCAAAAGAUACAAAUUCGUCUUGUUUUACGGUUACACGUAGUGGCACCAUUGUUUUCCCCGGAGUUUAUAAUUCCUUACAAUUCCUCUCGAUAUUCCGAAGCAAAACAACAACAGGGUUUGAAGCAAAUUCUAACUCUUAUGCCGCUACAGAGCUUUUUGAGGUAUGGAUAAAUUGAAUGCAUCUUUGUUGAGUCUAGAUGGUCCAGAAUGGCGAACUACCGCAAGUAGAGCAACUAAUCGAAAUAAUAGACACGCACAUAUACGUAAUAUGUUUAACAUGGAUAGGAAAUUGCUUUGAAAUUUAACAAUCAUUGCAAUAAUUACGUAGGUUCGGAAGUCGUAUUACUAGAUACUUAUUGUAAUAUCGUAAAGUAAUUCGAAUUAGAAAUCAGUUGAAAAUAGAGAAACCGUGUACGUCGUGUUUCUGUACUUCGUUUACAUGCAAGAGUGCCUACGUGAAUAAAGGCACCUAGUUGGUAGUUCUUACAUAGGUAUGAGGGAAACAAUAGACAACGUUAGAAGAAGGACGGUUUCGCUACGCAAGGCGAGUCGAAAAGUGUGCGUGUUGCGAGAAUCAGAGCUAAUUGAGUCGUCGAAGAGUAGAGUCGUUAGAGGUAUCGAGUCGUCGAAGAGUAGAGUCGUGAGAAUUGAUAGAGUUGUUAGAGAGAGAGAGAGUGUGUGUGUGUUAGAUUCGUUGUGACGAGAGUGGUCAAAUAACUGUAAAGUUGUUUGAUAUAGAUACGAGUAUUGCAUUUAGUUUCCGUUAAAUAAAUAUCGUUUCCUGUCCAAUUUAUAUUUGUAUAUUCAAUUUAAUAUUAAUAAAUUGUAAGUAAUCGGGAAAAGAUUUCUAUCCUUAUUUUCCGAUUUUACAUUAUUUUCACAGAUUUCAAUUCACUUAUUCAUUGAUUGAUAUUAGGACAAAUGAGGAACUUCGCAUCUAGUUAGAUUAACAAAUAAAAUGUAUUGUUCCUG